rnacentral:rRNA from 1 species
UACGGGGGGGGGCAAGCGUUGUUCGGAAUUACUGGGCGUAAAGCGCGUGUAGGCGGUUGUCCAAGUUGGAUGUGAAAGCCUUGAGCUUAACUCAAGAAAUGCAUUCAGGACUGGAUGACUAGAGGACCGGAGAGGAUAGUGGAAUUCCCAGUGUAGUGGUGAAAUACGUAGAGAUUGGGAAGAACACCAGUGGCGAAGGCGGCUAUCUGGACGGUUUCUGACGCUAAGACGCGAAAGCGUGGGGAGCAAACAGG